GACGAACGCUGGCGGCGUGCCUAAUACAUGCAAGUAGAACGCAGUUGCGAACGGGUGAGUAACGCGUAGGUAACUGCCUCAUAGCGGGGGAUAACUAUUGGAAACGCUAGCUAAUACCGCAUACUGUGAGAUGGCCCUGCGUUGUAUUAGCUAGUUGGUGGGGUAAAGGCUCACCAAGGCGACGAUACAUAGCCGGCCUGAGAGGGAGAACGGCCACAAUGGGACUGGGGCACGGGCCAGAAUCCUACGGGGGGGCGGAGUAGGGGAACUUCGGGAAUGGGCGGAAAGCUUGCCGAGCAACGCCGGGUGGGGGAAGGAAGUUUUCGGGUCGGAAAGCUCUGGUGUUAGGGAAACGGUAACUAACCAGAAAGGGACGGCUAACUACGUGCCAGCAGCCGCGGUAAUUC
rnacentral:rRNA from 1 species